rnacentral:rRNA from 1 species
GAUGAACGCUGGCGGCGUGCCUAAUACAUGCAAGUCGAGCGAACAGACGAGGAGCUUGCUCCUCUGACGUUAGCGGCGGACGGGUGAGUAACACGUGGAUAACCUACCUAUAAGACUGGGAUAACUUCGGGAAACCGGAGCUAAUACCGGAUAAUAUAUUGAACCGCAUGGUUCAAUAGUGAAAGACGGUUUUGCUGUCACUUAUAGAUGGAUCCGCGCCGCAUUAGCUAGUUGGUAAGGUAACAGCUUACCAAGGCAACGAUGCGUAGCCGACCUGAGAGGGUGAUCGGCCACACUGGAACUGAGACACGGUCCAGACUCCUACGGGAGGCAGCAGUAGGGAAUCUUCCGCAAUGGGCGAAAGCCUGACGUAGCAAAGCCGCGUGAGUGAUGAUGGUCUUCGGAUCGUAAAACUCUGUUAUUAGGGAAGAACAAAUGUGUAAGUAACUAUGCACGUCUUGACGGUACCUAAGCAGAAAGCCACGGCUAACUACGUG